rnacentral:rRNA from 1 species
UUCCUACGGGGGGCAGCAGUGAGGAAUAUUGGUCAAUGGGCGGAAGCCUGAACCAGCCAAGUCGCGUGAGGGAAUAAGGCCCUACGGGUCGUAAACCUCUUUUGCCGGGGAGCAAGGGCGGGGACGUGUCCCGGCCCGGAGAGUACCCGGAGAAAAAGCAUCGGCUAACUCCGUGCCAGCAGCCGCGGUAACACGUAGGGGGCAAGCGUUAUCCGGAUUUACUGGGUGUAAAGGGAGCGUAGGCGGUUCAGCAAGUCAGAAGUGAAAGCCCGGGGCUCAACUCCGGGACUGCUUUUGAAACUGUU